AUGGCUCAGGAUGAACGCUAGCUACAGGCUUAACACAUGCAAGUCGAGGGGUAGCAGGGUAGCAAUACCGCUGACGACCGGCGCACGGGUGAGUAACACGUAUCCAACCUUCCCAUAACUCAGGGAUAGCCUUUACGAAAGAAAGAUUAAUACCUGAUAGUACUUUUUCAAGGCAUCUUGAGAAAGUUAAAGAUUUAUUGGUUAUGAUGGGAUGCGUUCCAUUAGAUAGUUGGUGAGGUAACGGCUCACCAAGUCUUCGAUGGAUAGGGGUUCUGAGAGGAAGGUCCCCCACAUUGGUACUGAGACACGGACCAAACUCCUACGGGAGGCAGCAGUGAGGAAUAUUGGUCAAUGGGCGAGAGCCUGAACCAGCCAAGUAGCGUGAAGGAAUGAAGGUCCUAUGGAUUGUAAACUUCUUUUAUAGUAGAAUAAAGUGAUCCACGUGUGGAUUUUUGUAUGUAUACUAUGAAUAAGGAUCGGCUAACUCCGUGCCAGCCGCCGC
rnacentral:rRNA from 1 species